CAAGAUGAACUACAAGUUUUUUUUAUAGUUCUUCUUGUAUUUGUAAAUAUUUCAUUAAUUGCAAUCAAGACUAGAAAUACUUGUGUUAAAUUUUCCGUGCAUAUGAUAAAUUUAAGCUAAAGUACACCAAACGCAAAUUCACUUUUAGAAUACGACGACCGAACCCAUAUUAUGAAUAAGGUACUAUAUUUUAGAUCUUUAAAAAAUGAGCGCGAAGAUUUUCUCUCUUUUAUUAUUACUUCUUGUAAGUGAAAUUACAAUUGACACAAACAGAUUACACCG
rnacentral:lncRNA from 1 species